CAGUCGAGGGGUACAGGAAGUGCUUGCACUUCGCUGACGACCGGCGAACGGGUGCGUACGCGUAUGCAACCUACCUUCUACAGGGGGAUAGCCCAGAGAAAUUUGGAAUAAUACCCCAUACGGUCAUUUAAUGGCAUCGUUAAAUGAUGAAAACUCCGGUGGUAGAAGAUGGGCAUGCGUCCUAUUAGUUAGUUGGUAAGGUAAUGGCUUACCAAGACACCGAUAGGUAGGGGUCCUGAGAGGGAGAUCCCCCACACUGGUACUGAGACACGGACCAGACUCCUACGGGAGGCAGCAGUGAGGAAUAUUGGACAAUGGAGGCAACUCUGAUCCAGCCAUGCCGCGUGAAGGAAGACGGCCUUAUGGGUUGUAAACUUCUUUUAUACAGGAAGAAACCUUUCCACGUGUGGAAAGUUGACGGUACUGUAAGAAUAAGGAUCGGCUAACUCCGUGCCAGCAGCCGCGGUAAUACGGAUGGUGCAAGCGUUAAUCGGAAUUACUGGGCGUAAAGCGCGCGUAGGUGGCACACCAAGUUAGAUGUGAAAUCCCAGGGCUUAACCUUGGAACUGCAUCUAAAACUGGUGAGCUAGAGUAUUAGAGAGGAAAGUAGAAUUCUUAGUGUAGCGGUGGAAUGCGUAGAUAUUAAGAGGAAUACCAAUGGCGAAGGCAACUUUCUGGAUAAAUCUGACCUGAGGUGCAAAGCGUGGGGAGCAACAGGAUAGAUCCCUGUAGUCCCGCGUAAACAUGGCC
rnacentral:rRNA from 1 species